rnacentral:rRNA from 1 species
AGUGAACGCUGGCGGUAGGCCUAACACAUGCAAGUCGAACGGCAGCACAGUAAGAGCUUGCUCUUACGGGUGGCGAGUGGCGGACGGGUGAGGAAUACAUCGGAAUCUACUUUUUCGUGGGGGAUAACGUAGGGAAACUUACGCUAAUACCGCAUACGACCUACGGGUGAAAGCAUGGGAUCUUCGGACCUUGCGCGAUUGAAUGAGCCGAUGUCGGAUUAGCUAGUUGGCGGGGUAAAGGCCCACUAAGGCGACGAUCCGUAGCUGGUCUGAGAGGAUGAUCAGCCACAUUAGAACUGAGACACGCUCCAGACUCCUACGGGAGGCAGCAGUGGGGAAUAUUGGACAAUGUGCGCAAGCCUGAUCCAGCCAUACCGCGUGGGUGGAGAAGGCCUUCGGGUUGUAAAGCCCUUUUGUUGGGAAAGAAAAGCAGCAGGUUAAUACCCCGCUGUUCUGACGGUACCCAAAGAAUAAGCACCGGCUAACUUCGUG